rnacentral:tRNA from 1 species
GUCGUUGGCGGUGAUGGUGAGUUCGAUGUCGCCGUCGGGGCCGGUGGCGGCGUUUGCCGGAGAGAAGCACCUGGUGUGCCGAACACCGUCGAUGACG